GAUUGAACGCUGGCGGCAGGCUUAACACAUGCAAGUCGAGCGGUAGCACAGGGGAGCUUGCUCCCUGGGUGACGAGCGGCGGACGGGUGAGUAAUGUCUGGGAAACUGCCUGAUGGAGGGGGAUAACUACUGGAAACGGUAGCUAAUACCGCAUAACGUCGCAAGACCAAAGAGGGGGACCUUCGGGCCUCUUGCCAUCAGAUGUGCCCAGAUGGGAUUAGCUAGUAGGUGGGGUAAUGGCUCACCUAGGCGACGAUCCCUAGCUGGUCUGAGAGGAUGACCAGCCACACUGGAACUGAGACACGGUCCAGACUCCUACGGGAAGGGCAGCA
rnacentral:rRNA from 1 species